rnacentral:rRNA from 1 species
CCUACGGGGGGCUGCAGUGGGGAAUAUUGGACAAUGGGCGAAAGCCUGAUCCAGCCAUGCCGCGUGUGUGAAGAAGGCCUUCGGGUUGUAAAGCACUUUCAGUGGGGAAGAAAGCCUUGGGGCUAAUACCCUCGAGGAAGGACAUCACCCACAGAAGAAGCACCGGCUAACUCCGUGCCAGCAGCCGCGGUAAUACGGAGGGUGCGAGCGUUAAUCGGAAUUACUGGGCGUAAAGCGCGCGUAGGCGGUCUGAUAAGCCGGUUGUGAAAGCCCCGGGCUCAACCUGGGAACGGCAUCCGGAACUGUCAGGGUAAGGGGGAGGAGAGGAAAGGAGAAGUCGCGGUGAGGGGGUGAAGUGCGAGGGGAGCGGGAGGAAAACCAGUGGGGAGGGCGUCCUUCUGGACUGACACGGACGCUGAGGUGCAAAGGCGAGGGUAGCAAACAGAAUAGAAUACCCUAGAAGUC